rnacentral:rRNA from 1 species
GAUUAUGGCUCAGGAUGAACGCUAGCGGCAGGCCUAACACAUGCAAGUCGCGGGGCAGCACGGGUAGCAAUACCUGGUGGCGACCGGCGCACGGGUGCGUAACGCGUAUGCAACCUGCCCCCAUCAGGGGAAUAGCCCGCCGAAAGGCGGAUUAAUGCCCCAUAGGCCCAGGGCGCCGCAUGGCGCUAUGGGUAAAGCUCCGGCGGAUGGGGAUGGGCAUGCGUGCCAUUAGCUAGUUGGGCGGUAACGGCGCACCAAGGCGACGAUGGCUAGGGGGUCUGAGAGGAUGGUCCCCACACUGGUACUGAGACACGGACCAGACUCCUACGGGAGGCAGCAGUGAGGAAUAUUGGUCAAUGGGCGGAAGCCUGAACCAGCCAUGCCGCGUGCAAGGAUGACGGCCCUACGGGUUGUAAACUGCUUUUGUAUGGGAGCAAUAAGGGCUACGCGUAGUCCGAUGAGAGUACCAUACGAAUAAGCACCGGCUAACUCCGUGCCAGCCGCCGC